AUGGAUGUCGUGUCAAAAAGAUUCGCUCUCUUCGGCUUUAUUGCUGGGUGGAGCAUUGCAACCACUGCUGAGACUGAGACCGGACCUACCUUCCAGCUUGCACUGGCAGUCGUCUCAUGCAUAUACUUUCUAGACGACAAGAUGAAAAACCUUAGCAGGGCGUCUACUACAGGGCUUGGACUCUUUGCGAGCGGCUGGGUAGUAGGUUUGCUGGGUGGCUUGCGUCGGCCGCCGAAGCCCGCCGAGGUGAUGCCCUACUUCUGCCUGCGUCUCCCCGCACCCCUCCUACACACCACAAAGGGCGAUGGAGAGAUCAGAUUGUUGUUGUCGCUGUUCUUCUACUACAUAUUCAGUUCAGAAAAGUUCAGCUUCGCACAGGAUGGAAGUUCAACUGCUGGGGGCACUAGCAACAGCGGUGUUUCGCUUGAUUGUAGUUUCUGCGUUUUUGCUACUGCCAGCAAAUGA
rnacentral:rRNA from 1 species